AAUGGAUUCCUUGUCCAAUAAUUCAUGUCAAAGUGGAGCCUAAGAAUUCCAUUCACAAGUUAAUUACCGUGAGCAGUUCAGGUGGUGGAGUUCGUUCCAUUAACCAUUGGUUGGUGUUACAAUCCCUGCCUUGUUAGUAUGCAAAAGGAAAUAAAAUCAGCAUCAACAUUGGCCAGACAACAUCCCAGACAUUGACAGAAAACUCAAAAGGAGCUAUAUGUAAAAAUAUGUUUUUAAUUUUAGGAGACCGAGUUGGUUUUCCUGCUUCGUGUUGUAAACCAAAGAAUGUUUGAUGGAUGGAGGUCUAGAAGUGAAUGGAAGUAUCACACAAGUGGUUUUCCUUCCCCAGUUUGGAAAGAGGCAGGUGAGCUGAUUGUUAUUCUUGCUCUUGUUCCUGAGAUUGGUGGCUGACGUGCUUUAACCAUUAUAUCCAAGCAUGACGGGCCGAGACACGUCUUUAAGGAUUUCCUUCACUCCUCUUCUAUCUUUUCCUUUUUUAAAUUUGUUUUUCACAUGUAGUUGUAUUUUUGUGCUAUAAAAAGAUUACUGUUCCCUUUUUAAAGUUUCACUGAAAAAAAAAGAAAGAAGUUGCAUAUAUUCCUUUCUCUUCGAUCUGAUCGGCAAUCGUAUCAAUGAUUAAUUGGAAAAGUGCGACAAAUAAUCAUCCACAGCAGGAUUCACGGGUACCCUGUCGGUGAGAGUCUUUCUGCUCAUCAGCACGCGUGUCGUGUUCUCCAAGAGUCCUGUGUGUUGAUGUGUGUUAUCGCCUCGUGCACAUAGCGCACGCUGAGGGGCCGGACAGUUCCCCCCCAGCUCUUAUCAGACCCGGGCCCCUUGCAUUGCCGUUAGGACGAAAGGCGCUAUCUCACCGAGCCCCCUCUCCUGACCGGACUGUCCACCACAGAUUAGUCAAGAGAAGUCGAUUUACUACCCGGCCAGUUAGUUACCAAACACUUCUUCUUUUGCUCUAUCUCUCCAACUUGUAACACCAAAAAACAGUUUGGGGUUGGCUCGACACUAAAUAACGGACUUUUUCUAACAUUGCCUUCAUUUUUAUUUCUUUUUUUUUUUUUUUUUAACUGAAAUUAGCUGGAGGGGAACCCACUGACUCCGGGCUGCGUUUUUCUUCAUGGACACAGGUGUACAGGUGUGUGAGGUAUAGGUGACAGUAUGUUAAGGUGGUUUAAAAUGGGCUCUGAGUAUUCCACAAUGGGACAAAAGGUUAAAAAAAUCCUUUUAUAUAGAUAUUGUGAAUCUGAACAAAGGCAUUGAUCUCACAGGGUCAAAUUUAAUCAAUCCAGCUGUCGCAUUUUGCUCCUCGUCAUACGCGCGUUAAAAAAACGCACUUUUACGCUUCAACUCUUGGCUACAAGAUUAAGUGUUUGGGCUCUGAGGGCGGCCAAAAUGUUGGUGAACGACACCAAAUGCUGUGCCUGAACGCACCCGACGUGGACACAGAUGGACGACAGAAGCCCCUCCUCUUUUUGUUUUUUUUGGACAACUUUCUGGCCACCAAUGACCCAGAUUGAAAUGAAGUGGAAUAUUAGUACAGCCCCAAAAUGAAAAACGCAUAUCUUUCCUCUGACCUGGAGUGCUAUAUGUCAGUCCGGAUGGUCUGCCGAAUAUUAAGGGAUUAUUUUCUUUCAACCUAAGUUCAUACAUGAAACUGCUCACAACAAGAGUUGGUGAGGAACGGAAGCUGAAGCUGAAAGGAGAGUGAAUAUUGGACGACCAUUCGACUACAAUGUUGAUCCACGGCUGCUCCGGGCACUUGUUUAGGGUUAAGAAGUCCAUGUUUACAGGUUGUUCCGCUGCCCCAAAGCCUCCGUGUGUGAACGGUGAAUCCCGCUGCAACAAAGCCGAGCCGCCCACGUCCCCGACGCAACAUCGAAGCCAUAGAGUCACGCCACGUAUCGGCAAUUCUUCUGCAAAAAUAUAAAUGGCCAACUAGGGCCUUAAACCCCAAACACUGUGUGUGUGUGUGUGUGUGCUGUGUGUUGUGUGUGUGUGUGCGCGUGGGUCGCAUAUUUAAUUCUUCAUGUCAGCUACUCAGCAUUGUUGUAGGUGACAGACUGCGUAAACCCCCUCCCCCAAAAACAUCAAAUUGGUGCUCGU